CCCGUGAAUUUAACAUCAAUUCAUGGGCAGGAGUGGACUGAACUAUAAACCGCAUGCUGGAAGGGGUUACACAAUGCUGAUAGCCCAUCUCCCAAUCCCAUAAACCCCAACCUAGUGCAGCGGGAUUCGAUCCCAAAUCUCCGCUACAAGGAGCAGGAAACUUACCAACCAGCGGGUGGCACCUUGCAAAAUCUUAAGACGAGCACUUAAACUUGAAAAUGACCGCACGACUCAAAGUCAAACCCAAGCUCUGUCUAAUGAUACCAUUAUCUGGGAUUUCUUCUCGUUCCAGCGUUGGAACAUUUCGUUUCUCCACGGAAUAAAAAGCAUGGAAUGGAUAGAGAGGAGAAGAACACAGGGAGCGAGAGUGAAAUUCGACAAAGGAGUUUGCCAGGGAAGCCGUGUUUCUGCGGACACUAGGAAUCCAGUAAUCACUUCACUGAUCCUCAUUGGAAGAUCAAGUUUCAGGAGGAUUUCAAGAGACGAAUCUACAUUCCUCAUCUGACCGACCUUUUCCAUGAUAUCCAACCCUUUUCAUCUACGUUUUGUAUCAAGAGCUAGUUUCCUUCUUCGAUUUCUUUUCUUCCUCUGUUUCAGCCUUAGACGUUAAGCGUUGUCUUAGUUGCUAUCUAGACAGAAUUCAAGUUCUUAACCAUUCCAUCCGAUUAUAGUUGAAUUUUAUUGAUAUUCUUCUUCUUCUUCUUCUUUUUUGAUUGCAACUGAUUCUGUUCUUUGGAAAGAUGGAGAUGGAAAUGCGUCCUGUGUUCGAGGAUUUUUCAGAUAGUUAUCCAGCGGAUGAGAAGUGAUAUGGAUAAAUGAACAAUAACGAUAGAGUAAUUCUUAAGGAAAGAGGAAUCAACAUGCUCUUUGUUCUGGGUGGGAAUGGUACACAAGCUGGUGGAAAUGCAAUCCAUAAUGAGAAUUGGUUUGAGAAAAAGAAUGCUAAAGGUCCUUAUGGGCAUAUUACACUUGGAGAUAUUAGUGUACACAUUGAACAACAGGUGGACCUUCCCUUCAAGUGUGCAGAACUUGUUUAGUACUACAUCAGUAAGGGAUUUAAAAAAGAGUGGUAAAAUCUUGUGGAGAUGUGCUAGAGCAGCUGUAUGCUGGACUCUGUGGGAGGAAAGAAAUCAAAGAACUUUUCAUGAGAAAGAAAAAAGUAGGGAAGCCAUCAUUGAAUUAAUAUAUGUUAGGGUGGUUCACUGGGUCAAGUCUAUGAAGAUAUUUAAAGGUUAUUCAACAGGAGACAUCAUUCGAAAAUGGAAAGAAGUGGCUUGGUCUGCCCCCUUGACUUCUUCACCUAGUCCAGCUUGGACUCCUCCAACUUCAGGAUUGAUUAAUUGAACUUUGAUGGCAGCAGUGAAGGAAACCCAGGCCCAACAGGUGUAGGUGGAGUGUUCAAGGAUGAAGAAGGUCAAAUUAUUGUCAUGUUCUCAGCACCUAUAGGCUGGGGGAUUCAUUGAGAGCCGAAAUUUUGGUAGCUCUGGAAGGGAUCAAAAGAGCCCAGCAGUUGAAAAUCAGAAAUCUGUUGGUGGAAGGAGACUCUAGGCUGAUAGUUAGCUGGUUGUAGGAGAAAGAUUCUAAUUUGUGAAAGUUCUCAAAUGAAAAAAAGAAAAUCAACCGGGUUACUCGAAACAUGCAAAUUCAGGUUCAGUGGGCCAAGAGGUGUGCCAAUUCUCUAGCAGACUCUUUGGCCAAACAAGGGGUGGGAAGAGCAAAUCUCUUUUGGGCUGUUUUGUAAUCUGAUCUUUAAUGUUAGGGAGGGUUAAGUGUU